AUAUCCAUCUCUGAGUCUGUCACUGGGAGAAUGGGAUGCUUUUUUGGACCAGGCCUGACUUACAUACCCAUCUGGGACAAUAGGACUUUCUAUGGGGACAACUUCAUCUGUACAUGGACAGAGACUGAAGAAUGGAGUACUCCAGCACUUUCACAGUCAUUUACGGCAUCUGCAGAGCAGUGAAAAAUUUGAAUUGCCUGAGAUACAUGCUCCCUGCUGAAGUCGCACAAGCUGGCCAAUCCUGCUAAUCCUUUAAAACUCACCUGGAGGGAAGGCCUCCUUCUGCAAAGCCUCUCUUGAUGCAGAUUAUCAGCUUUCACUCUCUACCAGAUGGCAAGGAUAUUGCUGUUGGCUCAUAGGAUGUGAACAGUGGUGUUGAGAUUACCCUCAUUUGGCUGAUGAUGUCAUUGAGGCCCAGAGAAGGUAGGACACCUGGCAGGGCCUGGCUUUGGGGCUAACUUCUGCAGCUCUUUUGAUUGCCCCCACCUUACAGUUUUUGGCACAGAGCACUGUGUAGCUGGCACUUCUCUACUGGCCCGAAUGAGAAAACUUCCUCAGAGCAAAAUGUCAAGCACCAAAUAAGAUUCAUGUUUACUGUGAAGUGAUUGCUGCUUUUUAAAUGCUUAUCAGAAGCCGAAGGACAAACUCAGUAGGUUGAUUCAUGCUGAGCUCGACUACCUCCGUGAGAAAUGACUCUCCUGUAGGGCUCGAUGACCUUCAUGUCAAUGCGCUGCUCUUGUUCUCCA
rnacentral:lncRNA from 1 species